UGUUGCUUUCUGUGUAUAUUUUAAUCUGUAUAAGUCACAUAUGGUUUUACUAGCAGUACAAACUAACUCUCACUAUAACCUAACUGUCACUGUGUAUAUGCAAGUGUGUAUGAAAAUAAAAAAAAAUAAUGAAAUGACAAAGUCAAAACGUCAAGUGCUAUGACCAAGUACUGAUGCACCAAAUUGGUUUUUUUUUUAAGUCAAUGUAUACUAAGUGUAAGUAUUG
rnacentral:lncRNA from 1 species